GUCAGAGUACAGGAACAGAGUCAGUCUAUGCAGCAUUCCUUUAACAUCACAUGUUGGUUAAAUAAAUGGUCACCAUCUUACUUUCAGGGGUUAGUGAUGGAUCCAGUGCCUUAAAACGGCUGCUUUCUCUGUUCGCUGCAGUAUGAGGAAGGUUUAACAUGGAAGCCAGUGAUAGACUGAAAGUGUCAAUUUGCACUUUUAGCCAAUCACUGGCUGCCCAUGGGGAAAAUAGCACAUCAGCUUGUAAUAGCACAAGCUGACACCCUCAGUCUAUCACCUGCUUUGCUGAGACUUUUC